AUGGAAGAAGAGAUCGGCACCCUCAUUAUUGACAAUGGUUCCAGCAUGUGCAAAGCUGACUUUGCUAGGGAUGAUGUCCCCUAAGUUGUGUUUCCCUCCAUCGUCAGGUGCCCCCGGCACUAAGGCAUGAUGGUGGGCAUGGGCCAGAAGGACUCCUGUGUGGGCAACGAGGCCCAGAGCAAGUGCGGCAUCCUGACCCUGAAGUAUCCCAUCGAGCAUGGCAUUGUCACCAACUGGGACGACAUGGAGAAGAUCUGGCACCAAACCUACAACGAGCUGCAUGUGGCCCUGGUACUGUUGACUGAGGCCCUCCUGAGCCCCAAGGCCAACAAAAACAGAAUGCCUCAGAUGAUGUUUGAGACCUUCAACACUCUGGCCAUGUACAUGGCUCUCCAGGUUGUGCUGUCCCUGUAUGCCUCUGGCAGCACAACUGGCAUUGUCAUGGACUCUGGAGAUGGGGUCACCCAUAUGGUGCCCAUCUACGAGGGCUAUGCCCUCCCCCAUGCCAUCCUGCAUCUGGACAUGGCUCUCUAGGACCUGACCGACUAACUCAUGAGGAUCCUUACCGAAAGUAGCUACAGCUUCACCACCACAGCGGAGCGGGAGAUUGCAUGUGACAUCAAGGAGAAAUUGUGCUAUGUCACCCUGGACUUCGAGCAUGAGAUGGCCACCACCACAUCCUCUUCUUCCCUAGAGAAAAGCUACGAGCUGCAUGAUGGCCAGGUCAUCACCAUCGGCAACAAGUGGCUUCAGUGUCCAAAGGCGCUGUUACAGCCUUCCUUCCUGGGCAUGGAAUCUUGCAGCAUCCACAAGACCACCUUCAACUCCAUCAUGAUGUGUGAUGUGGGCAACCACAAAGACCUGUAUGCCAACACGGUGCUGGCUGGUGGCACCACCAUGCACCCAGGCAUUGCUGACAUGAUGCAGAAGGAGAUCGCCACUCUGGCAGCCAGCACCGUGAUCAUCGGCUCCGAGUGCAAGUACUCAAUGUAGAUCCAUGGCUUCUUCCUGGCCUCACUGCCCUCCUUCCAGCAGAUGUGGAUUAGCAAGCAGGAGUACGACGAGUCCAGCCCCUCCAUCAUCCACCACAAAUGCUUCUAAAUGGACUCUGAGCAGAUGCAUAGCACUUGCUGCAUGGGUUAAUUCACAAGUAUAAAUUUGCCCCUGGCAAAUGCAUACACCUCAUACUAUCCUCACGAAACUGGAAUAAGUCUUCAGAAAGAAACUGUCUGUGGAGCUUGUACCUGAUAUCAGCAUUGGAUUGUAGAACUUGUUGCUGAUUUUGACCUUGUAUUCAAGUUAACUGUUCCCCUUGGUAUUUGUAGAAUACCUGUACAUAUCUUUGAUUUUAACCCUUAGUACAUGCAGCUUGGUCACUUUGAGGCUGAGGUAAGUACAUGCUUGUGGAAGACAAGUCUGUGGCCUGGUGAGUCUGCAUGGCCAGCAGUCUCUGAUCUGUGCAGGGUAUUAAUGUGUCAGGGCUGAGUGUUCUGGGAUUUCUCUAGAGGCUGCAAGGGCUCCUGAACCAGUUGUUUCUGUCCUGCCAGUCUGCCAGGGUUGGAAACUCCAAGCCAUAGGACCCAGUUUCCUUUCUUAGCUGAUGUUUUUCUGCCAGAACACCAUGCGCUCUUACUUGCCUUGAGUUGAAAGUGGUUUACAUUUAUACCUCCAAAUAUAUUUAUCCUUUUUAAUU